rfam:Gossypium raimondii chromosome 11, whole genome shotgun sequence.
ACGACCUUACUUGAACAGGAUCUGUUCUAUAGGCUCGUACUUCUGUUACCUUUAGCACAAAGAUGACAGGAUUCCAAGUUUGGUUGAUGAACUGAGACUGUGCGAUCAGAGCGUGAUUAUUGGUCUUGCCUUCCUGUUGAUGGUUGGCUUUGGCUGCAGAGGAUCGUUCUUAUCCAGCUUGGUCUGGCUGAGAUGGUCACACAGUUGUCUGACAAACU